rnacentral:snRNA from 1 species
GUGCUUGCUUCGACAGUACAUAUACUAAAAUUGGAAUGGUACAGAGAAGAUCAGCAUGGCCCCUGAGCAAGGAUGACAUGCAAAUGCGUGAAGCGUUCUAUAUUUUU